AAGAAGUAGACGCCCUCACUCGAGACGUCGAAGAAACAUAAACCAAGCAAUUGGAGGAAUAUUUUAAUACGACCUGGCUUCACGUGACAACAAACAACUCAAGUAAAAUGCCUAAGCAGAAGGAGAAAUAGAAGAAAGAAGAAGUAGACGCCCUCACUCGACACGUUAAGAAACAUACAUCAAGCAAUUGGAGGAAUAUUUUAAAUGAUCCGAAAUUUGCACACACCUGGCUUCACAUGACAUCCGUAAAAUGCCUAUGCAGAAGGAGAAAUAGAAAAAAGAAGAAGUACAUGCCCUCACUCGAGGCGUCGAGAAACAUAAACCAAACAAUUGGAGGAGUAUUUUAAAUGAUCCGGAGUUUGCACACUACCUGGUUUUACGUAACAAACAGCUCAAGUAAAAUGCCUAAGCAGAAGGAGACGCUCUCACUCGAGGCGUCGAGAAAGAUAAACCAAGCAAUUGGAAGAAUAUUUUAAAUGAUCCAGAAACAGCUCAAGUAAAAUGUCUAAGUAUAAGGAGAAAUAGAAGAAAGAAGUAGACGUCCUCACUCGAGGGGUCGAGAAACAUAAGCCAAGCAAUUGGAGAAAUAUUUUAAAUGAUCAGGAGUUUGCACACGACCUGGCUUCACGUGACAACAAACAGCUCAAGUUUGAUGUCAGUUCAAUUGAAAAUAUGGGCGACACUGGAUUGCCGCUAGUUCCUCUGCUGAAUGAAUCAACAAGCAUCAGAUCUUCAACUGCAUUGCCUGCUGUGCCAGCUCCUCAUAGAAACACAAGGAAGCUUGCUAGUAGAGGCCGAGGGAAAAGGCGGGGUGUUGAAGAAGCUCCUGUUGAUGACUCCGCUGAAACUGAGACCGGCGAAGGUAAGAGAAAGCCUUGUAGACCUAGGUCUUGGACAUGGGAUCACUUUACUAAAGAUGAAACUAGUAAUCCACAGUACCCUAGAGCUAAAUGUAAUUGGUGUGGGGCUAGUUAUGCUUGUGAUACACAUAAAAAUGGCACCAGUAACAUGAAAAAUCACUUGUUGUCGCAAUGCAAAAAAUUUCCAAAGGAGGCAUUAGAUCCUACCCAAAAGAUUCUUUGUUUUCAAGAUGCGAUAAAAGAUGAUAGGAAAGGGAUAGGUAGUUUACUUUCUGCUGUAUCUUUUGAUGUUGAUCGUUAUAGACAAGCGCUUGCUAGAAUGAUUAUUGUGGAUGAAUUACCUUUUUCGCAUGUUGAGGGGGAGGGUUUCGUUAUUAUAUGAGUUGUUUGCAACCCAAGUUUCCAAUUUCUGGAAGGCUCACAAUUGCUAGGGAUUGUUGGAAGCUUUAUUUGAAUGAAAAAAUUAAGUUGAAGUCUGUUUUUAAUCAACCAAAUCAAAAUGUUUGUUUGACAACUGAUUGUUGGUCAUCUGUGCAAAACUUGAACUACCUUUGCCUUACUACUCAUUACAUUGAUGUUAAUUGGAAACUGCAAAAAAGAAUCUUGAAUUUUUGUGCUAUCAAGAAAAUGAUCCAGUGCUUUCAAGCAUGGCUGAGAAAAUGAAGUCCAAGUAUGAUUAGUAUUGGGGAAAUAUAAAAAACACAAACAUGAUGAUUUUCAUUGCAGUGGUUUUUGAUCCUAGGUAUAAGCUUCAAUUAAGUGGGAUUUUGAAAAGUUGUAUGAAAAAGAAGAUGCUAAAUUCUUGACUUCAAAGGUAAAGGAGACUAUUUUCAAGGUGUUUAAUAGCUAUAGGCUGUUUGGUGGGAUUGGUAACUAUCAAAGAUCUACUCACCAAGAUCCUCCUAAAAUUGGCACACAAGAGCUUAAGGCACAUGAAACUUCUUUUGCUAUGAAAUUUGAGAAGAAAAUGCAAUUCAAUGAGAAUGUUAACAAGAAUGAGGUGGAGUUAUAUCUUAUGGAGGCCUUAGAGAAGAGUGGCAUGCAAUUUGACAUUCUAAAUUGGUGGAAAGUGAAUUCCACUAAAUAUCCAAUUUUUGGGCAAAUUGCAAGAGACGCCUUAGUCAUGCCAGUUUCCACAGUUGCUUCAGAAUCGACAUUUAGUACUAAAGGAAGGGUAUUGAAUAAUUAUAGGAGUUCUCUAACUCCAAUGACAGCUGAAGCGUUAAUUUGUACACAAAAUUGGCUCCGAAACUCUCCAAAACUUGUUCUUGAGGAACUCAUCGAGGAAUUGGAGAAGUUGGAAUUAGAAGUUGCACCCACUCUUGACCCUAAUGAAGAAGAUUCUGGUGUUGAGUCUGAUUGAGUACAUCUUGUUAUGGUUGGUUUACGUUAAGUUUAGCUGUUUUAUUCGAGAAGACACCAUAACUUGGCUAUCUUUUAAUGGAAUUUUAUUUUUAUUUUCAGUUCUGUUGACUGUUGAACUUUUAAACUUCUUUAAUUGUUGUAUUUGAAUUCCUUUUGUCGUUAAAUUUCAUUAGACCAAGACUUUGUUAGCUAUUGUGUAUUUGUGUUGGUCGAUUUCAAUGUUAUGAAUUUGUAAAAUAGUAUGGUAGUAUUUUUUUGAAUUGAUUG